rnacentral:sRNA from 1 species
UCUACUGUCUCAUCUGCUUUGGCAUCAGCGCUGAAUAGAUUUAAGACAUCUGCGCAUGUGUCUUCAGGUGCUGAAGAAAAACACCCUUCUCUGUACAUUGCCUAUUGGGCUGACACUUAAACAUUGCUCUGGGAUGUUGCAAACAGACCAAGCUAGAAAGGUACAAAAUGACUUUAUGUGCCUUAGUUGGAAUGUUGAUCUUAUUCUCUUAGACAAUCAACUUGUCUCUCUCUGCAUCCUAUUACACGCUGAGGACAGAAUAUUUGGAGGAUGUUGUACCUGCCCCCGAAACACUGCAACUCACUGAGUUGGAAAAUUGAGAAACUAUAAAGAAGAGAUUCUACCCUGCACUGUGGAUUCCCAGUGUUUUAUUUUGGAUGCCUUAUUCACCCAAGAGCAACAAGUUACGAAGGCAUCGAGAAAGCAUGGACAACAGCUGAGUCUUAUCACUGUGUGGCAGGGAUGGAUUUCUGGAAGACAUGCAAGAAGAGGCUACUGAUGAGAGUGCACCCCAGUUGCAACAAGGAGUCACAUUAAAAGUACUGACCUGAGUCUCAGAAGACAUUUUGAACUUCUAAAUAAUAUUUAACCGAUGAUAAAUAAGAUACUGUAACCAGUAUCCUUCGCGUUCACUUUAAGAUAUAUUAAUUCCACACAGAUUCAACUCUUCUAACUGUCCAUGUUAAGGAUCCAUUGAAUUGGAGCUGUAUCAGUGCUCUUCAUGAAACAUAAAUGGUAAGCAGUACACAGAAAUUUAUACACCUUUCUCAGAUAACACUGUCAAUGCUAAAAUUAAAAGCAAAUCACAGAUUACAACAGCAUGAUUUAAAACUUAG